CCCAGCUACAGACAACUGCCUAGGUUACAUUGUACCUAGGCAAGUGUUACACUGCAGGGAGAAAAGCAGCUAAUAGCUGGUGGGCAUCCUGGGCCUAGUUAAUGCCGAAUUUGUGUUAACUAUACCAGUGUGCCAACAUA
ensembl:snoRNA SNORA74 Small nucleolar RNA SNORA74